UUGUGGGUAUAACAUUCACUAUAUUAAGAUCAUACAUAUGCCCCCAAACCUAAUUCUUUUCUUAAGUAUAGUUUUAUAAAUGCUAACGAUGAAC
rnacentral:snoRNA from 1 species